CCAGACUCCUACGGGAGGCAGCAGUGGGGGAUAUUGCACAAUGGGGGGAACCCUGAUGCAGCGACGCCGCGUGGGUGAAGAAGCGCCUCGGCGCGUAAAGCCCUGUCAGCAGGGAAGAAAAUGACGGUACCUGAAGAAGAAGCCCCGGCUAGCUACGUGCCAGCAGCCGCGGUAAUACGUAGGGGGCAAGCGUUAUCCGGAUUUACUGGGUGUAAAGGGGGCGCAGACGGCGAUGCAAGCCAGGAGUGAAAGCCCGGGGCCCAACCCCGGGACUGCUCUUGGAACUGCGUGGCUGGAGCGCAGGAGGGGCAGGCGGAAUUCCUGGUGUAGCGGUGAAAUGCGUAGAUAUCAGGAGGAACACCGGUGGCGAAGGCGGCCUGCUGGACUGCAACUGACGUUGAGGCCCGAAAGCGUGGGGAGCAAACAGGAUUAGAUACCCUGGUAAC
rnacentral:rRNA from 1 species